rnacentral:sRNA from 1 species
GCCAGGCGUGGUGGCUCAUGCCUGUAAUCCCAACACUUUGGGAGGCUGAGAUAGGUGGAUCACCUGAGGUCAGGAGUUUGAGACCAGCCUGACCAACAUGGUGAAACCCUGUCUCUA